GCAAGUCGAGCGAUGAAGUUUCCUUCGGGAAACGGAUUACGGCGGACGGGCGAGUAACACGUGAGCAACCUGCCUCAAAGUGGGGGAUAGCCUUCCGCAAGGAAGAUUAAUACCGCAUAAUAUAAGAGAAUCACAUGAUUUUUUGAUUAAAGGCGUAAUCCGCUUUGAGAUGGGCUCGCGGUGCAUUAGCUAGUUGGUGAGGUAACGGCUCACCAAGGCGACGAUGCGUAGCCGACCUGAGAGGGUGAUC
rnacentral:rRNA from 1 species